CCGAGUCUCAGAUUAAAGCUGAGGCUAGUUACGCAUUAAUGAAAAAUGCUAGCUACAUUCGUAAAUUGCGGGAAAAUCUCACGAUUAAUAACACCAUUAGCAGCUUGAGAAAGUUGCUGAGAACCUCAGGGAAACUUGAGAACAACGGUAAAAGAUUAUUAAUAGAGACAAUCCGCAGCCAAGCUUGUGAAGAAAUAUCUACACAAGAAGGUUCAGAGACUUUAUACGAAUGGGCGGUUCUACCGCUUAAGAUAAAGUCCAUGCCCCACUGUGAAGUGGAU
rnacentral:ncRNA from 1 species